rnacentral:rRNA from 1 species
GACGAACGCUGGCGGCGUGCCUAAUACAUGCAAGUAGAACGCACAGUUUAUACCGUAGCUUGCUACACCAUAAACUGUGAGUUGCGAACGGGUGAGUAACGCGUAGGUAACCUGCCUGGUAGCGGGGGAUAACUAUUGGAAACGAUAGCUAAUACCGCAUAAUAUUAAUUAUUGCAUGAUAAUUGAUUGAAAGAUGCAAUUGCAUCACUACCAGAUGGACCUGCGUUGUAUUAGCUAGUAGGUGAGGUAACGGCUCACCUAGGCGACGAUACAUAGCCGACCUGAGAGGGUGAUCGGCCACACUGGGACUGAGACACGGCCCAGACUCCUACGGGAGGCAGCAGUAGGGAAUCUUCGGCAAUGGACGAAAGUCUGACCGAGCAACGCCGCGUGAGUGAAGAAGGUUUUCGGAUCGUAAAGCUCUGUUGUAAGAGAAGAACGGGUGUGAGAGUGGAAAGUUCACACUGUGACGGCAUCUUACCAGAAAGGGACGGCUAACUACGUG